rnacentral:rRNA from 1 species
CCUACGGGAGGCAGCAGUGAGGAAUAUUGGUCAAUGGCCGGGAGGCUGAACCAGCCAAGUCGCGUGAGGGAAGACGGCCCUACGGGUUGUAAACCCCUUUUGUCAGGGAGCAAGGUGCAGGUCGGGACCUGCUGUGAGAGUACCUGAAGAAAAAGCAUCGGCUAACUCCGUGCCAGCAGCCGCGCUAAUACGGAGGAUGCGAGCGUUAUCCGGAUUUAUUGGGGUUAAAGGGUGCGCAGGGGGAGGCACAAGUCAGCGGUAAAAUGGCGGGGUUAAACCCCGCUCCGCCUUUGAAACUGUGUGCCUUGAGUGCGCGAGGGGUAGGCGGAAUGCGUGGUGUAGCGGUGAAAUGCAUAGAUA